rnacentral:rRNA from 1 species
UAUAUUAUUUAUGCCUCUAACUGGAACGUACCUUGAGCAUAUAUGCUGUGACCCGAAAGAUGGUGAACUAUACUUGAUCAGGUUGAAGUCAGGGGAAACCCUGAUGGAAGACCGAAACAGUUCUGACGUGCAAAUCGAUUGUCAGAAUUGAGUAUAGGGGCGAAAGACCAAUCGAACCAUCUAGUAGCUGGUUCCUUCCGAAGUUUCCCUCAGGAUAGCUGGUGCAUUUUAAUGUUAUAUAAAAUAAUCUUAUCUGGUAAAGCGAAUGAUUAGAGGCCUUAGGGUCGAAACGAUCUUAACCUAUUCUCAAACUUUAAAUGGGUAAGAACCUUAACUUUCUUGAUAUGAAGUUUAAGGUUAUGAUAUAAUGUGCCCAGUGGGCCACUUUUGGUAAGCAGAACUGGCGCUGUGGGAUGAACCAAACGUAAUGUUACGGUGCCCAAAUUAACAACUCAUGCAGAAACCAUGAAAGGCGUUGGUUGCUUAAAACAGCAGGACGGUGAUCAUGGAAGUCGAAAUCCGCUAAGGAGNUAAAAUGGAUGGCGCUUAAGUUGUAUACCUAUACAUUACCGCUAAAGUAGAUGAUUUAUAUUACUUGUGAUAUAAAUUUUGAAACUUUAGUGAGUAGGAAGGUACAAUGGUAAGCGUAGAAGUGUUUGGCGUAAGCCUGCAUGGAGCUGCCAUUGGCACAGAU